rnacentral:rRNA from 1 species
GCAGUCGAGCGAGCUUUCGGGCUUAGCGGCGGACGGGUGAGUAACGCGUGGGAACGUGCCCUUUGGUACGGAAUAGUCCUGGGAAACUGGGUUUAAUACCGUAUAUUCUCUACGGAGGAAAGAUUUAUCGCCAAAGGAUCGGCCCGCGUUGGAUUAGGUAGUUGGUGGGGUAAUGGCCUACCAAGCCGACGAUCCAUAGCUGGUUUGAGAGGAUGAUCAGCCACACUGGGACUGAGACACGGCCCAGACUCCUACGGGAGGCAGCAGUGGGGAAUCUUAGACAAUGGGGGCAACCCUGAUCUAGCCAUGCCGCGUGAUCGAUGAAGGCCUUAGGGUUAUAAAGAUCUUUCGCUGGGGAAGAUAAUGACGGUACCCAGUAAAGAAGCCCCGGCUAACUCCGUGCCAGCAGCCGCGGUAAUACGGAGGGGGCUAGCGUUGUUCGGAAUUACUGGGCGUAAAGCGCGCGUAGGCGGAUUGGAAAGUUGGGGGUGAAAUCCCGGGGCUCAACCCCGGAACUGCCUCCAAAACUAUCAGUCUGGAGUUCGAGAGAGGUGAGUGGAAUUGCGAGUGUAGAGGUGAAAUUCGUAGAUAUUCGCAGGAACACCAGUGGCGAAGGCGGCUCACUGGCUCGAUACUGACGCUGAGGUGCGAAAGUGUGGGGAGCAAACAGGAUUAGAUACCCUGGUAGUCCCACCGUAAACGA